UACAGAGGGGGCAAGCGUUGUUCGGAAUUACUGGGCGUAAAGGGCGCGUAGGCGGCCUGCUAAGUCGAACGUGAAAUCCCCGGGCCCAACCCGGGAACUGCGUCCGAUACUGGUUGGCUUGAAUCCGGGAGAGGGAUGCGGAAUUCCCGGUGUAGUGGUGAAAUGCGUAGAUAUCGGGAGGAACACCAGUGGCGAAGGCGACUACCUGGCCUGUUUCUUGACGCUGAGGCGCGAAAGCUAGGGGAGCAAACGGG
rnacentral:rRNA from 1 species